rnacentral:lncRNA from 1 species
UUUAAACAAACUGCAUAAAUACGUAAAUACCCGUGCCACACAUGAGUUCAAACAAGUGUUCAAAUAUUUUUGAUACGUGUGGUGCCAGCAUUAGACAAAACUCAUUGGAAAUUAGAUUCCACGACCCUCACUGCAAUUUCUUCCGGCAGUAAUCAAGGAAGCUUGUAUUUCUUUUUGCUGAAGAAAAUUACUAUGUUACAAAGAUUUUUUUAAAGUUCGGCCAUACCUAAUCAACGAGAUCUCCCCCUGAGGCAAUUUAUGUGCGCUUGGUCUUCACAUCGAAUGCACCCCCAUGUACAGGAGAAAUUAGUGCGGCACUAGGCAGUUAGGCACCAAGUUAUGUGUGUAUAUCCAUAGUUAUAAAUUCACAUUGGGGCUCGCGAACAUUUCUCCUUCUCCCCUUCGCCCAACCUAAAGGGUUUCCCUUCCUUGACCUACAUUUUCUCCCCCCUUUCCUCCCAGCCCCUGCAGUCCCUAAGCCGGGGGAUUCUAGUAACUUGUUCGCAAGUUUCCCCCGGGAUAGAGUGCAGGCACGCCUACCCAAAAAAAUCAACGAGAUCGACAGAUAUUUUCAAAUAACAGUAUUAUUUAUUUAAAUUACAUAGUAUGAACAUGUUUUUAGUUCUCCAGUUUGAUAAGGUACCUGGAAUGUAUAAAUUUUCACAAAUAAGGACAUUCUACCAUCAAACCUGGCUACAUUUCUAGGAUAUAAAUAACACAAUCACUUAAUACUGAUUACUUCAAUAAUUAUAGAAUGUUGAGUGAAUCUAAAAAGAUAAAUCUUUGGUUCUUGUACACAUAACAUAUAGAUAAAAAAAUCACGACUAUGCAUAGACAAUAUUACUGUAUACGAAUUACUCUUUCACGCGAAUCCAAUAUCUUGUUGCCGCAUUCAUAAUCUGAGAAUAUUACAAGACAUUUGAGAAAAUUAUCCUUCGCCACAUCAUAUUCAUCAGAUAGGGGCAGAUUUUUCAAAAGGUCCAUAGCAGAGCAAGCUGCGGGAUAAAUUCUGGGCAUAUCGUGCAAACUGAAACUCAUUGGAUCUCCCAUAAGCCCAUUUAUAUCUCGAAGCUUCUUUUUCGUUUCAUCGUCUAAUAUUUGCUUCUUCUUGACCUUAACACUUUCAAUGCAUAGAAUACAGUUGCAGACCAUUCCGUAAAGCGUGUAUAGAUUUAUGCAAUUCAUUGUGAUUUUUUUUACGUCCACGUGACAGCCCCUGGAAGAAAAAUAUGUAUUACUCCCAAUCUUUUGCUGGAUGGAAAUAUCAAUUAGUUUGGAUCGACGUCAUAAUUACGCCCUUCACACACGUAUUGUGGCGUAUCGAUAUGAUAGUGAAUUGUGAUUGGAGUGCCGGCCUUAAUCGGUGCGCUGGCAAUAACAACCAUUCUCCUGUUCAAGUUAAUCGCACACGCGUUCGGGAUGCACGCAUGUCUCAAUUUGCCUAUGAAUGAGAACCAGCCGAAAUUCGCGGUCUGAGAUAAGGUGGCACCAAUAGGAUUUGCGAUCCCGAGAGCUUGAUUCAUCGUGGUGGGGAUGGUGUGAAGAACUAGGAACAUCAUCAUUCGUCCCAUCGCCCGCAUCGCUUCUAACUUCUCCUUUUCGUCAUUGGGGAAGAAGUUAUUCAGUCUAUCCAAGUGGUGUAUAACGGUGGCGCACGCAAACGAAGUGUUACACAUAGUGCCGUGAAUGAAGAGACGGUCAUCAUUAAAACACAGCAUAGAAAACUUUUCAUCCACAUCGAAAACUUCCUUUAUAGAACUCUUCUUCCAUCUCUCGCGUCCAACACUCCACGACGCAUCUAUAAAUUCCUUCCAAUUUUUGCAUUUCUUACGAAUUUUCAACACGGUCUUGAUGACUAACUUUGGCAUCGGCCCAGCCGUCAUAUCUUCUACGACUUCCAUAAUUUGGCACUCAAUGUUGUGGCCUUCGUUGAAGCUAUUCUGACGGCAUUUUGCAUCGCAGAACACAAUCCAACAGCAUCCAGUGCACGGGAUCAGGUUUAACGAUCUUUUCGAGCAAUAAUAGCAUGAAUUAAGGUAGUUGAGUUUAGAGAUUCCGAUGGUAAAAGCCUCUUCUAUAGCCAGCACUGCGCCUAUUUUGAUAUUUCUUUUUGCCACGACCUUAGGAGCUCGACGGUCUAACGCAACACUUAUGUCGGCACUAGCACACGGUAUGUCCGGAUUUCGGCUUGACAAUUUAUACACUGUUGGUCCAUAGAUCGAGUAGCUGAAAUAUAAAAGUUAAAUGUGUUAAUAAUAGGCAAUCUCUCAUCUCUCAUCCUUGCAAAGCUUGGGUAGGUUUUCCUGCUCUCAAACCCACUGCUAUCAGGAUCAGCAGUGACACGAAUUUUAUGAAAUCAAGCAUUUAAGCUCGGUGAGUCUCAGAGAAAACUAAUGUCUUUGGACUGCAUUGAUUAAUCAAUCACUUUUGAUUAAAAUCUCAAGUAGACAUUUAUAUUGAAUUAUUAAAUGAACCUAGCUCAAGCUGUCAAAAUCCAUCACAUUUUGUGACUUACGAUAUGGUUUGAGAUGGUGAAAAUGGAUUUAUUAAAUGGUGACUAUCUUAGGAUCUUGACCCUAAUUUGACAGUGUUUAAGCUGAUAUAGGACCUCAGAGAGAAUUUCCCGUAAAUUCUUAAUCUAAACUAGAAUAUCCAUAAGUACGACCUAUGAAAAUAAUCUGAUACAUUUUGGGGAUAUACUAGGAUGAAUUAGAUAUCAAAACCGAAGAAAUGUGUCAGACUAUGGCAAACUUGGACAUUUAUGACAACCAUACAUCAGGAUGAACUAUCAUGAUUCUCAUUUAUGUUGUGUAAAAAUCAAUCAACCUAUAACUGUAUUACAGUUUAAAAUAACUUACCAAACUCAGAAUAAAUAAUUACCUUUUAUAUCUCCUGAUAGCUUCCUCAUCAUAAAAAUUUGAUGCCUCAUGUAAUCUAAGUCUCAGUUUGUCAUCAAUCUCUGUAGCCGUUGGUAUUUCCAAUGCCAUCUUUAUAUCCGCAACACAUGCUGGGUAAUAUCCUUGUUUAUAGUAAAUAAACGAUCUGUUGCCAAAAGCUACUUUCAUUGAGCGAGAGUUCUGUGGUGCAUACAUGAGUGCUUCAUUGUAGUAUUCCAUUGCUUCUUGGUAUCUAUCUGGCUUUAACAUGUCAUUACCGCUUUUACGAAGGGAUUCAGAGUUUCUUUCACAUUUAUUUUUUCGAUUCAUUUGUGGUAUUAAAUUUAUCCUUCUUAAUAUAUGUAAUGCUGUGAUCACAACUGUUGAUGGGUCAUCAUUAUCCAAUGCUUCAUAAAUAUCUUUCAUAAAUGGAUGUGUUGUUAUUGUAAAAUUGAAAGGCCAAACUCGAGAAUCCAUUGCUUUGUAACUGAAAUAUUUAAAUAGUAAAUAAAAUUAUAAUAGCGAAA